UAAACGACUCUCGGCAACGGAUAUCUUGGCUCUUGCAUCGAUGAAGAACGUAGCGAAAUGCGAUACUUGGUGUGAAUUGCAGAAUCCCGUGAACCAUCGAGUCUUUGAACGCAAGUUGCGCCUGAAGCCAUUAGGCUGAAGGCACGUCUGCCUGGGCGUCACGC
rnacentral:rRNA from 1 species